rnacentral:pre_miRNA from 1 species
UAAGGGGGGGGGUGGUCCCUCAGCCCAGAUUGCAAGAGGACGCAAGCCAGGCCAAGGGACCCCAAUGGUGCAUG